UUUACAAUGCGGGAAACCGUGAUAAGGGGACACCGAGUGCCAGCAUCAUAUGCUGGCUGUCCAGGUGUGUAAAAUACACCUGUUAGCAAGGGCCGGGCAAGACCGGUGCCAGCCGCCGCGGUAACACCGGCGGCCCGAGUGGUGAUCGUGAUUAUUGGGUCUAAAGGGUCCGUAGCCGGUUUGGUCAGUCCUCCGGGAAAUCUGAUAGCUCAACUAUUAGGCUUUCGGGGGAUACUGCCAGACUUGGAACCGGGAGAGGUAAGGGGUACUACAGGGGUAGGAGUGAAAUCUUGUAAUCCCUGUGGGACCACCUGUGGCGAAGGCGUCUUACCAGAACGGGUUCGACNGUGAGGGACGAAAGCUGGGGGCACGAACCGGAUUAGAUACCCGGGUAGUCCCAGCCGUAAACGAUGCUCGCUAGGUGUCAGGCAUGGCGCGACCGUGUCUGGUGCCGCAGGGAAGCCGUGAAGCGAGCCACCUGGGAAGUACGGCCGCAAGGCUGAAACUUAAAGGAAUUGGCGGGGGAGCACAACAACGGGUGGAGCCUGCGGUUUAAUUGGAUUCAACGCCGGG
rnacentral:rRNA from 1 species